rnacentral:rRNA from 1 species
UACGGAGGGUGCGAGCGUUAUCCGGAAUUACUGGGUUUAAAGGGUGCGUAGGCGGCCUAAUAAGUCAGAGGUGAAAUUUUCCAGCUUAACUGGAGCACUGCCUUUGAAACUGUUAGGCUUGAAUUAAGUUGAGGUCAGCGGAAUGUGACAUGUAGCGGUGAAAUGCAUAGAUAUGUCAUAGAACAUCGAUUGCGAAGGCAGCUGGCUAGGCUUAUAUUGACGCUGAGGCACGAAAGCGUGGGGAGCGAACAGG